rnacentral:rRNA from 1 species
GAUGAACGCUGGCGGCGUGCCUAAUACAUGCAAGUCGAGCGAACAGAUGAGAAGCUUGCUUCUCUGAUGUUAGCGGCGGACGGGUGAGUAACACGUGGGUGACCUACCUAUAAGACUGGGAUAGCUCCGGGAAACCGGGGCUAAUACCGGAUAAUAUUUUGAACCGCAUGGUUCAAUAGUGAAAGACGGUUUCGGCUGUCACUUAUAGAUGGACCCGCGCCGUAUUAGCUAGUUGGUAAGGUAACGGCUUACCAAGGCGACGAUACGUAGCCGACCUGAGAGGGUGAUCGGCCACACUGGAACUGAGACACGGUCCAGACUCCUACGGGAGGCAGCAGUAGGGAAUCUUCCGCAAUGGGCGAAAGCCUGACGGAGCAACGCCGCGUGAGUGAUGAAGGUCUUCGGAUCGUAAAACUCUGUUGUUAGGGAAGAACAAAUUUGUUAGUAACUGAACAAGUCUUGACGGUACCUAACCAGAAAGCCACGGCUAACUACGUGCCAGCAGCCGCAGUAA